rnacentral:tRNA from 1 species
GCGGUAAUAGCUCAGCUGGUAGAGCGCCACUCUUCCAAAGUGGAUGUCGCGGGUUCGAGCCCCGCUUACCGCU